rnacentral:rRNA from 1 species
AACGAACGCUGGCGGCAUGCCUAACACAUGCAAGUCGAACGCCCUCUUCGGAGGGAGUGGCGCACGGGUGCGUAACGCGUGGGAACCUGCCCUUAGGUUCGGAAUAACUCAGAGAAAUUUGAGCUAAUACCGGAUAAUGUCUUCGGACCAAAGAUUUAUCGCCUUUGGAUGGGCCCGCGUUGGAUUAGCUAGUUGGUGGGGUAAAGGCCUACCAAGGCGACGAUCUUUAGCUGGUCUGAGAGGAUGAUCAGCCACACUGGGACUGAGACACGGCCCAGACUCCUACGGGAGGCAGCAGUGGGGAAUAUUGGACAAUGGGCGAAAGCCUGAUCCAGCAGUGCCGCGUGAGUGAUGAAGGCCUUAGGGUUGUAAAGCUCUUUUACCCGAGAUGAUAAUGACAGUAUCGGGAGAAUAAGCACCGGCUAACUACGUGCCAGCAGCCGCGGUAAAGUGACUACUG